rnacentral:rRNA from 1 species
GAUAAACGCUGGCGGCGUGCCUUAUGCAUGCAAGUCGAACGGGCUCCAGGGCUUCGGCCUUGGCGCUAGUGGCGAACGGGUGAGUAACACGUAUGUAACCUGUCCGGAAGUGGGGAAUAACCCUCCGAAAGGAGGGCGUAAUACCGCAUGUAGUCGCCGGUGAGAGACCGGUGGACAAAAGCCUUCGGGCGCUUUCGGAGGGGCGUGCGACCGAUUAGCUUGUUGGUUGGGGUAACGGCGUCACCAAGGCGACGAUCGGUAGCUGGUCUGAGAGGACGGCCAGCCACACGGGGAC